rnacentral:lncRNA from 1 species
UUUGUCUUUUCGGAAAAGUGGAGUUUUAAAAAUUCACUUGAAGGUAAUGGACUGAGAUUGCUUCUGUCCCAAGGACCAGCGGGAUCCUGGCGAGGUGUGGGGUUCCAAGUUCCAGUUGCCACAGUAUCAAAGUCUUAGCCAUCUCCUCAUUUCCAGAUCUUUUUCUAAUAAAAGCACUGUUUAAAUGUCUCACUUUGACUUUAUUUACUCCCUUAAAUUCCUCCAAUGUGUAAAAUCGAUCUCGAAUAAUAGCUAAAAUGUUGAAUCACAGCAUGGUAUUGGGCAUCACGGUG